rnacentral:rRNA from 1 species
GAUGAACGCUGGCGGCGUGCCUAAUACAUGCAAGUCGAGCGAAUGGAUUAAGAGCUUGCUCUUAUGAAGUUAGCGGCGGACGGGUGAGUAACACGUGGGUAACCUGCCCAUAAGACUGGGAUAACUCCGGGAAACCGGGGCUAAUACCGGAUAACAUUUUUAACCGCAUGGUUCGAAAUUGAAAGGCGGCUUAGGCUGUCACUUAUGGAUGGCCCCGCGUCGCAUUAGCUAGUUGGUGAGGUAACGGCUCACCAAGGCAACGAUGCGUAGCCGACCUGAGAGGGUGAUCGGCCACACUGGGACUGAGACACGGCCCAGACUCCUACGGGAGGCAGCAGUAGGGAAUCUUCCGCAAUGGACGAAAGUCUGACGGAGCAACGCCGCGUGAGUGAUGAAGGCUUUCGGGUCGUAAAACUCUGUUGUCAGGGAAGAACAAGUGCUAGUUGAAUAAGCUGGCACCUUGACGGUACCUAACCAGAAAGCCACGGCUAACUACGUGCCAGCCGCCGCAGUAA